rnacentral:ncRNA from 1 species
GCGGUACCGGUUCACGCCCCCCUGUCUCCCAUGGCCCGGCCACUGGGUGGAGGCGCCCGGCGACC